rnacentral:rRNA from 1 species
UACAGAGGUCCCAAGCGUUGUUCGGAUUCACUGGGCGUAAAGGGUGCGUAGGCGGUCGGGUAAGUCUGAUGUGAAAUCUCACAGCUUAACUGUGAAACUGCAUUGGAUACUAUCCGGCUCGAGGAAUGGAGGGGAGACUGGAAUAAGUCAUGUAGCGGUGAAAUGCAUAGAUAUGACUUAGAACACCAAUUGCGAAGGCAGCUUGCUAAACAAAUAUUGACGCUGAGGCACGAAAGCGUGGGGAUCAAACAGG